rnacentral:sRNA from 1 species
CUCAUGUGUAGUAUUGAGUAUAAAAACUAGAACCGCAACUGGUUCCCAAAAGCAAAAGUAGUGUUUCCUUGUUAGAAGAUACAAAGCCAAAGACUCAUACGGACUUCGGCUACACCAUGAAAAUUUUGAGAAGCAAUAAGAAGCUUGGUUAGUGUUUUGGAGUCAAAUAUGACUAGAUGUCAUGUGUAUGAUUGAGAAUAAGAACUAGAAUGGCAACCGUUCCCAAUAGCUAAAGUUAUGUUUCCUUGUUAGAAGAUACAAAGCCAAAGACUCAUACGGACUUCGUGUACACCAUCAAAAUUUUGAGAAGCAAUAAGAAGCUUGGUUAGUAUUUUAGGGU